rnacentral:misc_RNA from 1 species
ACAAACUUGGUCAUUUAGAGGAAGUAAAAGUCGUAACAAGGUCUCCGUUGGUGAACCAGCGGAGGGAUCAUUACAGAGUUAUCCAACUCCCAACCCUUUGUGAACCUUACCGCAGUUGCCUCGGCGCGAGCCGCGGCUACCCUGCAGCUACCCUGUAGCUGCCGCGUAGCACGCACAUGGCCCGCCGGUGGACAGCUAAACUCUUGUAUGUACACAAGUAUGUCUGAUUGCUUAAAUAAAAUAAGUCAAAACUUUCAACAACGGAUCUCUUGGUUCUGGCAUCGAUGAAGAACGCAGC